ACUCGAGGGACAUUGUUCCAGCUAAUGAUUAAGAACUCUCCAGACAAUAGGGGCUUCUUAGACAAUGGGUGAAUUUCCAGGAUGUCCGGCCCCCUUCCGAGAAGGAAGGAGAUAAACAAAAUAGGUGUCUGUCAAAGACCAAUCAGGCAGCUGGGGACAAGUUCCCUCUCUGGUCCGAGCCUAAGCCGGGACCAAUCAGCAGGAGAACACAACCAAAUCUAUAAUUUACAUACGGGGAAGUGGGAACCUAUAAAACUGACAUAUUCGCGCCCAAAAGGGUUCCUUCUUCGACCUCCUGCGUGAGGACCAAGGAACCCCGGUGCACCGGCCUUCAAUAAACCUCUUGCGUUUUGCAUCGA